AGAAGAAUAUAAAUGUUCUAGAAGAAUAUAUGCUGAGGAUAGCUUUCAGCUGCUGCGCUCUUAACUUAAGCCAAGUGCCUUGGAAGUGCAGUGAUUGCUCAGGAGCAACAAGGGACCUGCAGCACCUCCUCUGGGUACAGCAGAGGCAACUUCACCUGGUGUACUGGGAAUAGUUGGGUGGCUUUGACUUUCCCCCUCCAGAAUAUGUAGCAAGGGAGACAGAACAUCCAUAAAAACAACAUUUUACCAACACAUAGUAUAAAUGGUCUGCUAUUCUAAGGACAAAGAGCAAUAAAACAAAAAUGGGAUAUCACCCAAGAAAAGAUUUGAGAGGCAAAUAGAACCUGGAAAAGAAAGACCACAGGAAAACAAGACACAAUACAGAAGAGUUCAAGAAGCAUUUGCAUGAUGGUCUCAGACACGUGGUGUGACUCUUGGGCAUGUUGUGUGCAGAGAGUCAGAGAAUAAGGGAGAGCUGUAGCCCCUGGAGAGGAGUAGAACUAAGGAGUGGGCCUAAAAGACUGAGAAGAGUGUUGAGAGGAAUUGCCCAAGACACUCCUGUAGAACACUAACCACUGGAGAGGGAUGGUCCACUGGGUGACGAAAGGUCCAGACUGAGAGCUGGGAAAUCUACAGCAGCCAGAGGUAGUUCUUGAAAGGUUGGCUGCUUGCCUGUCUGCCUGAGGUUUAAGCCCCAGACCUGUCAAAUUCUGCAUACAGCUCUGUGCUGUUUUGUGAGUUGGGACUUGGAGUUUUGACUCAAUGCCAAGGCCUGUAUGCUCCUUACCUACUGAAAUAUUUGGGGUAUUGUCAGGCAUUGUAAACUUUUUCUUGAGGUGCAUUCAUACAGAGGUUUCCUUGCAUUCCAUACAAAAAUAUAAUUUUAAGAGGUGUUGUGAAAAAGAUCACUGGCUGAAAAUUUAAUUUCCUGCCCAAAUGGAUGACGCCUGCAAGGUAAAAUAAAUGCAUUUAAA